AGUAGCACGUGGGUAACCUGCCCUUGAAGUAGGGGAUAACACUUGGAAACAGGUGCUAAUACCGUAUAACAACCAAAACCACAUGGUUUUGGUUUAAAAGACGGCUUCGGCUGUCACUUUAGGAUGGACCCGCGGCGUAUUAGCUUGUUGGUAAGGUAACGGCUUACCAAGGCGAUGAUACGUAGCCGACCUGAGAGGGUAAUCGGCCACAUUGGGACUGAGACACGGCCCAAACUCCUACGGGAGGCAGCAGUAGGGAAUCUUCCACAAUGGACGAAAGUCUGAUGGAGCAACGCCGCGUGAGUGAUGAAGGGUUUCGGCUCGUAAAACUCUGUUGUUGGAGAAGAACAGGUGUCAGAGUAACUGUUGACAUCUUGACGGUAUCCAACCAGAAAGCCACGGCUAACUACGUGCCAGCAGCCGCGGUAAUACGUAGGUGGCAAGCGUUGUCCGGAUUUAUUGGGCGUAAAGCGAGCGCAGGCGGUUUUUUAGGUCUGAUGUGAAAGCCUUCGGCUUAACCGGAGAAGUGCAUCGGAAACCGGGAGACUUGAGUGCAGAAGAGGACAGUGGAACUCCAUGUGUAGCGGUGAAAUGCGUAGAUAUAUGGAAGAACACCAGUGGCGAAGGCGGCUGUCUGGUCUGUAACUGACGCUGAGGCUCGAAAGCAUGGGUAGCGAACAGGAUUAGAUACCCUGGUAGUCCAUGCCGUAAACGAUGAGUGCUAAGUGUUGG
rnacentral:rRNA from 1 species